GUGAGGAAUAUUGCGCAAUGGAGGCAACUCUGACGCAGCCAUGCCGCGUGCAGGAAGAAGGCGCUACGCGUUGUAAACUGCUUUUAACCGGGAAGAAACCCCAGGACGUGUCCUGGGUUGACGGUACCGGAGGAAUAAGCACCGGCUAACUUCGUGCCAGCAGCCGCGGUAAUACUAAGGGUGCAAGCGUUAUCCGGCUUCAUUGGGUUUAAAGGGUGCGUAGGCGGAGCGUUAAGUCAGUGGUGAAAUCCUGCAGCUUAACUGUAGACUUGCCAUUGAUACUGGCGCUCUUGAGUGCGCUUGAAGUGGGCGGAAUGUGCCGUGUAGCGGUGAAAUGCUUAGAUAUGGCACAGAACACCAAUUGCGAAGGCAGCUCACUAAGGCGAUACUGACGCUGAGGCACGAAAGCGUGGGGAUCGAACAGGAUUAGAAACCCUUGUAGUCC
rnacentral:rRNA from 1 species